CCUACGGGCGGCUGCAGUGAGGAAUAUUGGUCAAUGGGCGCUAGCCUGAACCAGCCACGUAGCGUGAAGGAUGACUGCCCUCUGGGUUGUAAACUUCUUUUAUAUGGGAAUAAAGUGCAGUAUGUAUGCUGCUUUGUAUGUACCUUAUGAAUAAGGAUCGGCUAACUCCGAGCAAGCAGCCGCGGUAAUACGGAGGAUCCGAGCGUUAUCCGGAUUUAUUGGGUUUAAAGGGAGCGUAGGCGGGUUGUUAAGUCAGUUGUGAAAGUUUGCGGCUCAACCGUGAAAUUGCAGUUGAUACUGGCAGGCUUGAGUACAGUAGAGGUAGGCGGAAUUCGUGGUGUAGCGGUGAAAUGCAUAGAUAUCACGCAGAACCCCGAUUGCGAAGGCAGCAUACCGGCUUCCUACUGACGCUGAAGCUCGAAAGCGUGGGGAGCAAACAGGAUUAGAUACCCUGGUAGUC
rnacentral:rRNA from 1 species